UAGGGAAUCUUCGGCAAUGGGGGCAACCCUGACCGAGCAACGCCGCGUGAGUGAAGAAGGUUUUCGGAUCGUAAAGCUCUGUUGUAAGAGAAGAACGUGUGUGAGAGUGGAAAGUUCACACAGUGACGGUAACUUACCAGAAAGGGACGGCUAACUACGUGCCAGCAGCCGCGGUAAUACGUAGGUCCCGAGCGUUGUCCGGAUUUAUUGGGCGUAAAGCGAGCGCAGGCGGUUGAAUAAGUCUGAAGUUAAAGGCAGUGGCUUAACCAUUGUUCGCUUUGGAAACUGUUAAACUUGAGUGCAGAAGGGGAGAGUGGAAUUCCAUGUGUAGCGUUGAAAUGCGUAGAUAUAUGGAGGAACACCGGUGGCGAAAGCGGCUCUCUGGUCUGUAACUGUCGCUGAGGCUCGAAAGCGUGGGGAGCAAACAGG
rnacentral:rRNA from 1 species